AGGGAAUUUUCCGCAAUGGGCGAAAGCCUGACGGAGCAACGCCGCGUGAGUGAGGACGGCCUUCGGGUUGUAAAACUCUGUUCUUGAGGAAGAAUUCCUUCCAGGCGAACAGCCUGGAAGGUUGACGGUACUCAAGGAGAAAGCCCCGGCUAACUACGCGCCAGCAGCCGCGGUAAUACGUAGGGGGCGAGCGUUAUCCGGAAUUAUUGGGCGUAAAGCGCGUGCAGGCGGCCGGUUAAGUCAGGUGUGAAAGGCUGCGGCUCAACCGGAGAGCGGCACCUGAAACUGGUCGGCUUGAGUGCAGGAGAGGGGAGCGGAAUUCCCGGUGUAGCGGUGGAAUGCGUAGAGAUCGGGAGGAACACCAGUGGCGAAGGCGGCUCUCUGGCCUGUAACUGACGCUGAGGCGCGAAAGCGUGGGGAGCAAAC
rnacentral:rRNA from 1 species